AAAGAGCUAUCAAAGAGGUACCCAUAUAAUAGCGUUUAUACAAAAAGCGCUAUUAAACGUGUCCGUUUAUUUUCGUUAGCAACUUAUAAUAGCGCCCGACAAGUAAACCGCUAUUAUAAGUCUCAGUGUGACAUUUUUAAUAGCGUUUUGUUAAAAAGCGCUAUUAAAUUGGCGCUAUUAUAUGUCAAAAUUGUAGUAGUG
rnacentral:lncRNA from 1 species